rnacentral:rRNA from 1 species
GUUAAGCCACAGCCUUUAACUUCAGACUUAUCUAACCGCCUGCGCUCGCUUUACGCCCAAUAAAUCCGGACAACGCUCGGGACCUACGUAUUACCGCGGCUGCUGGCACGUAGUUAGCCGUCCCUUUCUGGUUAAGUACCGUCACAGUAUGAACUUUCCAUUCUCACACUCGUUCUUCCUUAACAACAGAGCUUUACGAUCCGAAAACCUUCUUCACUCACGCGGCGUUGCUCGGUCAGGGUUCCCCCCAUUGCCGAAGAUUCCCUACUGCUGCCUCCCGUAGGAGUCUGGGCCGUGUCUCAGUCCCAGUGUGGCCGAUCACCCUCUCAGGUCGGCUAUGUAUCGUCGCCUAGGUGAGCCGUUACCUCACCUACUAGCUAAUACAACGCAGGUCCAUCUGGUAGUGAUGCAUUUGCACCUUUUAAACAUCUACCAUGCAGUAAAUGUUCUUAUGCGGUAUUAGCUAUCGUUUCCAAUAGUUAUCCCCCGCUACCAGGCAGGUUACCUACGCGUUACUCACCCGUUCGCAACUCACAGAAUACGGUGUAGUAAACUACGGUGCAUCCUGUGCGUUCUACUUGCAUGUAUUAGGCACGCCGCCAGCGUUCGUCCUGAGCCAGGAUCAAACCCCUG